rnacentral:misc_RNA from 1 species
GAUGAAGAACGCAGCGAAAUGCGAUAAGUAGUGUGAAUUGCAGAAUUCCGUGAAUCAUCGAAUCUUUGAACGCACAUUGCGCCUUCUGGUAUUCCGGAAGGCAUGCCUGUUCGAGAGUCAUUAACAACCGUUUCGAUCCCUUUCUUUCAGAAAUUACAAAGAGGAAAAGGGUUUGGUUAUGGUGGAGGAGGGAAAGGGAGCGUUUAGCCUGUAAAAAAAGAGGCUGUGUUCCGCCUCCCCCCCAAAAUUGUACAGGCGGUCGUGUGCGCCCACGCAUCGAGGUGUUGUAAAAGCUGCCACGGCACUUUUCACCUGUGCAGUGCGAGAUUGGCCAGCCGGUUUAAAAACCCCUCCAAACAAUCGAAGGUUGACCUCGGAUCAGGUAGGGAUACCCGCUGAACUUAAGCAUAUCAAUAAGCGGAGGA